rnacentral:lncRNA from 1 species
UCCUGAAAUGUCCUAUUGCAUUACCUCAAAAGCUAGUCACAGGAGAACAAUGAUUUGCUCUGGCAAGGCGAAGACAGUACCAAGUCAUUGCAUAAUCUCCACUCACAUUCGGAGUUCCUGAGCAGCUGCUCUGGAGGUGGAUGAAAAUAACCCAUCAUUUCAGUUUUUAUAACCCAUUCAGGUCAGCAUUUAGGAAUAACAUGGAUGGUUGAACCCAUGGAUACAGAGGGCCAACUGCACAUACAAUGAAUGCUU